UAAAGAACAAGUCCUGCAAGGAGUGAUGAGGGAGCUGUGGGUGCGUAACCUGGAGAAAAGGAGGCUUGGGGGGCCCUUAUCAACCUCUACAACUACCUGACAGUAGCCAGGUGGGGCUCAGCCUCUUGUCCCAGACACCAUCUUAGUGAAGUGACAAUGAACAGUGUAAGGACAUUGCUGCAGGUAUCAGAAGUACCCAGCUGAAAAAAUUCCUGAAUGGGGCACCAGAAUAAUGGAUAAUGUUUACACAAUGGAUGUACUAAGGAUGUUCUUCCUAUAAUGGCAACUUUCAAGCAAAAGGAGUAUAUCAAAAUGUCAAAAAUUUUGGAGACUACAGCUCUAAGGAAUAAGAUUUCAACAACUGUCUUGGUUAUUUAAGGACAUUUUUCAUAAGUUUGCACCGAAACCACGUGUCACACUUCUUUCUAAGAUGACACCCCCUUCAGAGAAGGCAAGGAGAUUACUCAGAGGCAGGUCCUGACCAGUAUAACUGUGUACAAGCAAGAAAAGGGGAUGGAGGGAGAGUCAUCUGGCUGCUUUUUGGAUGGGAAAGCAUCAUUUUGGUAGCCUUAGAAACAAAAACCAUAAGCACAGCUGGCAACCACCUGGCCCCAGGCUAUGCCUUGCCCUUCUCAGAGCACAGCAGGACAGGGUGUGGGCAGUGCUGAGCAGAGAUCCCACAGGAGAACCUGAGCUCUGCAGGAAGUGGUGUCUGACUCAACAGCGAGGCAGCAGAGCUUAGGGCACUGCACUAUUUCAGGGACUAGGGCUUGAAUGUGACUUCACACACACAGCCCAAACUAGAGUCAUCAUCAAAGACUUUGUGGUUGCUCUUGGGAAAAGGCCUAUUCCCAGUGACUUGGUGACAGGCAAAGAGCUACUGUUUGUACUUCCAGAGCUUAGUCACUUUGGAAGUUGAAGCAAGAAGCAAGCAUUCUUCAAUUCCUGUCCUGAUAAACCAAGUGAUGCUGUUCUGAAUGGUUUCUCAGCACUGCCUCGGGGAACACCAUUCCAGUAGAGAUAAAGCUUGUGUGCAUAUCAUUUCUUCAGUGACCCCUUUGAAUAAUAAGUGCUAUUUAAAUGUAA